GCCGAUGCGGUGAAGUUGGAGAGUCACAGAUGACUGUAAAUCAUCUACUUCGGUUGAGUAGGUUCGAAUCCUACCAGCGGCA
rnacentral:tRNA from 1 species